GUGCUCUCCUCAGCGGCACAUAGACUAAAAUUGGAAUGACACAGAGAUUAACAUGUCCCUUGAGCAAGGAUGACAGGCAAAUUAGUGAAACGUUCCAUAUUAAA